rnacentral:rRNA from 1 species
UACGAAGGGGGCUAGCGUUGCUCGGAAUCACUGGGCGUAAAGGGUGCGUAGGCGGGUCUUUAAGUCAAGGGUGAAAUCCUGGAGCUCAACUCCAGAACUGCCUUUGAUACUGGCGAUCUUGAGUCCGGGAGAGGUGAGUGGAACUGCGAGUGUAGAGGUGAAAUUCGUAGAUAUUCGCAAGAACACCAGUGGCGAAGGCGGCUCACUGGCCCGGUACUGACGCUGAGGUGCGAAAGCGUGGGGAGCAAACAGG